rnacentral:lncRNA from 1 species
AUUUCCCACGUAGCUUGUCAGUCAAACCAAUGAUUCUCUUCUCAAAGUCAAAGAGAGAGUCUUUUUUUUCUGGUAUGUAGCUCCGCAAGCUAGGAAUGUAUCAUCGGGGCAGGGGAAAACGAACAGAACAUAGGGUCAUCAUCAUUGCCCUCUUAUUUUUUCUUUUGUUUGUGUCCGGUCUGUUGCGUGUGUGUGUUUUUAGGCUUAUCUUUUAUUGGGGCUUAAAAUGACUUUUUUUUUUCAGCUGAUCUCACAUCGAGAGCAGUUCUUUCUUGUUCAGGGCUCCUCCGA